rnacentral:rRNA from 1 species
UACGAAGGGGGGCUAGCGUUGCUCGGAAUGACUGGGCGUAAAGGGCGCGUAGGCGGCGCAGUUAGUCAGGCGUGAAAUUCCUGGGCUCAACCUGGGGACUGCGCUUGAUACGGCUGUGCUUGAGGAUGGAAGAGGCUCGCGGAAUUCCCAGUGUAGAGGUGAAAUUCGUAGAUAUUGGGAAGAACACCGGUGGCGAAGGCGGCGACCUGGUCCAUUACUGACGCUGAGGCGCGACAGCGUGGGGGAGCAAACAGG